rnacentral:rRNA from 1 species
UACGUAGGGGGCUAGCGUUGUCCGGAUUUAUUGGGCGUAAAGAGCGUGUAGGCGGCCAGGUAGGUCUGCUGUGAAAACUCGAGGCUCAACCUCGAGACGUCGGCGGAAACCAUCUGGCUAGAGUCCGGGAGAGGGAUGCGGAAUUCCAGGUGUAGCGGUGAAAUGCGUAGAUAUCUGGAGGAACACCGGUGGCGAAGGCGGCAUCCUGGACCGGUAUUGACACUGAUGAGCGAAAGCCAGGGGAGCAAACGGG